UAGGGAAUCUUCCGCAAUGGACGCAAGUCUGACGGAGCAACGCCGCGUGAGUGAAGAAGGAUUUCGGUUCGUAAAACUCUGUUGUUAGAGAAGAACAGCGCAUAGAGUAACUGUUAUGCGUGUGACGGUAUCUAACCAGAAAGCCACGGCUAACUACGUGCCAGCAGCCGCGGUAAUACGUAGGUGGCAAGCGUUGUCCGGAUUUAUUGGGCGUAAAGCGAGCGCAGGCGGUCAAUUAAGUCUGAUGUGAAAGCACCCGGCUCAACCGGGGAGGGUCAUUGGAAACUGGUUGACUUGAGUGCAGAAGAGGAGAGUGGAAUUCCAUGUGUAGCGGUGAAAUACGUAGAUAUAUGGAGGAACACCAGUGGCGAAGGCGACUCUCUGGUCUGUAACUAACGCUGAGGUUCGAAAGCAUGGGUAGCAAACAGG
rnacentral:rRNA from 1 species